rnacentral:rRNA from 1 species
GUGAGUAGUUCUAGAGUUUGAUCCUGGCUCAGGAUGAACGCUGGCGGCGUGCUUAACACAUGCAAGUCGAACGAAGAAGAGUUGAAUGAGAGCUUCGGCAGGAUUUCUUCUCAUCUUAGUGGCGGACGGGUGAGUAACGUGUGGGCAACCUGCCCUGUACUGUGGAAUAAUCACUGGAAACGGUGACUAAUACCGCAUGUCAUCACCGGAGGGCAUCCUCUGAUGAAAAAAGGAGCAAUUCGGUACAGGAUGGGCCCGCAUCUGAUUAGCUAGUUGGUGAGAUAACAGCCCACCAAGGCAACGAUCAGUAGCCGACCUGAGAGGGUGAUCGGCCACAUUGGGACUGAGACACGGCCCAA